GAUGAACGCUGGCGGCGUGCCUAAUACAUGCAAGUAGAACGCUGAAGGAAGGAGCUUGCUCUUUCCGGAUGAGUUGCGAACGGGUGAGUAACGCGUAGGUAACCUGCCUGGUAGCGGGGGAUAACUAUUGGAAACGAUAGCUAAUACCGCAUAACAGUAGAUGUUGCAUGACAACUAUUUGAAAGGGGCAAUUGCUCCACUACCAGAUGGACCUGCGUUGUAUUAGCUAGUUGGUGAGGUAACGGCUCACCAAGGCGACGAUACAUAGCCGACCUGAGAGGGGGACCGGCACCAUUGGACUGAGACACGGCCCAGACUCCUACGGGAGGCAGCAGUAGGGAAUCUUCGGCAAUGGACGGAAGUCUGACCGAGCAACGCCGCGUGAGUGAAGAAGGUUUUCGGAUCGUAAAGCUCUGUUGUAAGAGAAGAACGAGUGUGAGAGUGGAAAGUUCACACUGUGACGGUAUCUUACCAGAAAGGGACGGCUAACUACGUG
rnacentral:rRNA from 1 species